rnacentral:misc_RNA from 1 species
GCCUUUGCCUCCUCCCACCCCACCCCCACUCAUCCACCGCCUUGAUGAUUGCCCGCGAGGACGGGGGAAUCCCUCUCGGGCGACGGCAACAAAAAGAGGCGGAGACACUCGAGCCCACCUGCUCGCUCGAGUCGUGCCACCGAGGGCGCCGGCGGAGGGGUGCCGGAUCGGUGCGCUCCCCCACGCUCAACCGGACAUUCGCCCGCCAAGCCAGGAUCGGUUGCUGCGCGGGGGUGGGUCGUGCGGUUCGCUUUCCGGCCCCCUGCGUUCGGGACGGCCCGACGCCCCCCCCCCGCCCGGCGGCCCGCGCGGGGGCAUCUCGGCCGCCCCCCCCCCCACCACGGCGGCAUGGACGUGCGGCCAACGGGCCCUUCCUGUCCGACGCCGCCCCUACCCCGCAUGCGCGCCGCGCGGCCGGCGCCGGGCUGAGACGGGUCUCGGCCGUCUGCGCGCCAUUCGCCUACCCACGGUGGCCACGGCCGCUUUGGGCACGAAGGUGGUGUCAACGGCCCUCCUGCCGUUGGCGCUGGCACCGUCCCGCCGCGCGGCGGCACCGCAAAGCAGCCGCCGUGCGAGCAGCGCCACGCCGAAAGGGCAGAGCAGACCCUCUGACGGACCCCGCUCGCGCGAGCACACCGCCCUACGCCUGGCAAGCCGAGCCCUGGCUACUUUGAUGGCUCCUGCAACGUGCCGGCCAGUGUCGCGCAUGGGUUGGAGGUCUACGCCGGGAAGGCGGAAGGGGCAGCGAUCCUCCUCCGGGCACGCGCGUGCAACGAGCCGUGUCCCUCCCGGAAAUGGACAGUGAGCUUGGCCGCGUCGUGAACAGUUCGCACUGUGGUGGCGGCGGCCCAGUCGUAGAUGGACUCGUGGAGCACCAGCGCAACGCCCCCGACUAUGCGUUUGUGGUGUGCUGCAUCGAGGUGUCCGUAUCGCUUGCGCAGAUCAAGUAUUUGUUGUCGCGCCCAUCCAGCAGAGUAGCUCAAGUCUGGUUUAGUCGUUGUGUUUGUUACCGCACUGGGUUGUACGAUUCGGGAGCCGUUCUAGGAGCGUGAGGACCGAAUGCAACAUCGCUGGGUAUCUGAACGAGAACUUCCCGUGUUACCAGGACGGUCGUAGGUACGUAGUCGGGCCUGAGGGGUGCAUCCGUCGAGGAGGGUCAUCUCAGCAAGGCCACACCGUCACUCCUGCAACCUCGUCCUGGCGAACAGAGGAGGGCCUAUUGCCUAUACGUGCAUCCUCGUGCAUGAGCAGGGAGAGGCCGCGGUCGUGCUUCUUUUCCCUCGCUACAUGGGAAUGCUGAAACGCCGAGAAAUGGCGUGCCGCACAGGCCUGUUGGGGUGUGUAUGGAGUGCAUCUCCAGCAGCAUGCAGACUUGUAUCGGGGGUGCACCAGGAAACGGGGCUAAGGACCCGCGCCAGCGUAGCCCAGCACAAUCUACCUGCAUUGCAUAGAGGGCGCAGUAGGUGGGAAAUCACGCUCGGCACCACUACAACGCACCAAAAGCUAACAAAGAGCAGGUGGAUGCGCACGCUUGUUGGAUUGCCGAGACGAUCUGUGGUGAGCUGUGGCACACCUGUGAUUAUGGCUGCGUGCCUCUUUAGGCACAGCGCCAGCCCAAGCCUGUCUGCUGGCACAAAG